GGGAAUGUGGCUUAGUGGUAAAGUGCCUGCCUAGCAUACAUGAAGCCCUAGGUUCAAUUCCUCAGUACCA
rnacentral:tRNA from 1 species